rnacentral:rRNA from 1 species
CCUACGGGGAGCAGCAGUGGGGAAUAUUGCACAAUGGGGGAAACCCUGAUGCAGCGACGCCGCGUGAGUGAAGAAGUAUCUCGGUACGUAAAGCUCUAUCAGCAGGGAAGAAAAUAACGGUACCUGACUAAGAAGCCCCGGCUAACUACGUGCCAGCCGCCGCGGUAAUACGUAGGGGGCAAGCGUUAUCCGGAUUUACUGGGUGUAAAGGGAGCGUAGACGGCAGCACAAGUCUGGAGUGAAAUCCCGGGGCUUAACCCCGGAACUGCUUUGGAAACUGGCUUUCUUGAGUGGGCGAGAAGUAGGCGGAAUGCGUGGUGUAGCGGUGAAAUGCAUAGAUAUCACGCAGAACUCCGGUUGCGAAGGCAGCAUACCGGCGCCCAACUGACGCUGAAGCACGAAAGCGUGGGUAUCGAACAGGAUUAGAUACCCCUGUAGUC